rnacentral:rRNA from 1 species
UACGGAGGGGGCUAGCGUUGCUCGGAAUCACUGGGCGUAAAGCGCACGUAGGCGGAUUGCUAAGUCAGGGGUGAAAUCCUGGAGCUCAACUCCAGAACUGCCUUCGAUACUGGCGAUCUUGAGUCCGGAAGAGGUGAGUGGAACUCCUAGUGUAGAGGUGGAAUUCGUAGAUAUUAGGAAGAACACCAGUGGCGAAGGCGGCUCACUGGUCCGGUACUGACGCUGAGGUGCGAAAGCGUGGGGAGCAAACAGG